AGUGAACGCUGGCGGUAGGCCUAACACAUGCAAGUCGAACGGCAGCACAGUAAGAGCUUGCUCUUACGGGUGGCGAGUGGCGGACGGGUGAGGAAUACAUCGGAAUCUACUUUUUCGUGGGGGAUAACGUAGGGAAACUUACGCUAAUACCGCAUACGACCUACGGGUGAAAGCAGGGGAUCUUCGGACCUUGCGCGAUCGAAUGAGCCGAUGUCGGAUUAGCUAGUUGGCGGGGUAAAGGCCCACCAAGGCGACGAUCCGUAGCUGGUCUGAGAGGAUGAUCAGCCACACUGGAACUGAGACACGGUCCAGACUCCUACGGGAGGCAGCAGUGGGGAAUAUUGGACAAUGAGCGCAAGCCUGAUCCAGCCAUACCGCGUGAGUGAGGAAGGCCUUCGGGUUGUGAAGCCCUUUUGUUGGGAAAGAAAAGCAGCAGGUUAAUACCCCGCUGUUCUGACGGUACCCAAAGAGUAAGCACCGGCUAACUUCGUG
rnacentral:rRNA from 1 species